rnacentral:rRNA from 1 species
GACGAACGCUGGCGGCGUGCUUAACACAUGCAAGUCGAACGCUGAAGCUCAGCUUUUGUUGGGUGGAUGAGUGGCGAACGGGUGAGUAACACGUGAGUAACCUGCCCCCUUCUUUGGGAUAACGCCCGGAAACGGGUGCUAAUACUGGAUAUUCACUGGUCUUCGCAUGGGGGUUGGUGGAAAGGGUUUUUCUGGUGGGGGAUGGGCUCGCGGCCUAUCAGCUUGUUGGUGGGGUGAUGGCCUACCAAGGCUUUGACGGGUAGCCGGCCUGAGAGGGUGAGCGGUCACAUUGGGACUGAGAUACGGCCCAGACUCCUACGGGAGGCAGCAGUGGGGAAUAUUGCACAAUGGGCGCAAGCCUGAUGCAGCGACGCCGCGUGAGGGAUGGAGGCCUUCGGGUUGUGAACCUCUUUCGCUCAUGGUCAAGCCGCAACAAUGGUUGUGGUGAGGGUAGUGGGUAAAGAAGCGCCGGCUAACUACGUG